rnacentral:rRNA from 1 species
UUGUUAACCCCUUAUUGUCAGGCAUCUGGUCAAUGCAUCAAUUAUGGUAAAUUUUCCAUAUUCUUUAGUAAGGGAUGCCUAGGAAAUGUCAGAGAGGAAGUAAAGAUGUUGUUGCAUGUUCCUAAUGAAACUUUGAAUGUGAAAUAUUUAGGUAUGCCUUCUGAUUUGGGCUCUCUGAAGAAUGGAGCCUUCAAGUAUUGA